CAAUCUGGCAACAAAGGCAGGGGGUUGACUGAUGUGUUCAUCAUUAGAGACAUUUCAGGCGCCUGCUAAAUUGGCCAGAUUAUGAAAUCUUUGCCUGAGCAGGAGAGUAAUAAUCAAAAUGAAUUUCAUCUUUAACUGAAUGAGCUCCAUCAUUAGUCUUCAUCAGAGUCUCACGUUGUUAUAUUAGCGCAAUACAAUAGAAAAAAAAUGGAUUGUACUCAAUUUAGUUUCGAAGCCCCCUUCCAAACAAGCUACUGAGUAAGGCUAACUUCCAAAUGGGACCCUGUUCCCUAUAUUAGUGUAAUACUGACCCGGGUCCAUCGAAGAUAGUGUCCUGAUAUAUUAACAUACAUCAUACUGUCCUGAUAUAUUAACAUACAUCAUACUCUCCUGAUACAUUAACAUACAUCAUACUGUCCUGAUAUAUUAACAUACAUCAUACUGUCCUGAUACAUUAACAUACAUCAUACUGUCCUGAUACAUUAACAUACAUCAAACUGUCCUGAUACAUUAACAUACAUCAUACUGUCCUGAUAUAUUAACAUACAUCAUACUGUCCUGAUAUAUUAACAUACAUCAUACUGUCCUGAUAUAUUAACAUACAUCAUACUGUCCUGAUACAUUAACAUACAUCAAACUGUCCUGAUACAUUAACAUACAUCAUACUGUCCUGAUAUAUUAACAUACAUCAAACUGUCCUGAUAUAUUAACAUACAUCAUACUGUCCUGAUACAUUAACAUACAUCAUACUGUCCUGAUAUAUUAACAUACAGUACAUCAUACUGUCCUGAUAUAUUAACAUACAUCAUACUGUCCUGAUAUAUUAACAUACAGUACAUCAUACUGUCCUGAUACAUUAACAUACAUCAUACUGUCCUGAUAUAUUAACAUACAGUACAUCAUACUGUCCUGAUAUAUUAACAUACAUCAUACUGUCCUGAUAUAUUAACAUACAUCAUACUGUCCUGAUAUAUUAACAUACAUCAUACUGUCCUGAUAUAUUAACAUACAUCAUACUGUCCUGAUAUAUUAACAUACAUCAUACUGUCCUGAUAUAUUAACAUACAUCAUACUGUCCUGAUACAUUAACAUACAUCAUACUGUCCUGAUAUAUUAACAUACAGUACAUCAUACUGUAUUGAUACAUUAACAUACAUCAUACUGUCCUGAUACAUUAACAUACAGUACAUCAUACUGUAUUGAUACAUUAACAUACGUCACAUUCACAAGCAGCUAAACAGAUAGUGACUGGGUGAGUGAUGAUACUGUUAUAAUAUAGUAUAAUACUGUUAUACAGAUACUGAAUGGCUGUUUCCUCAGUUCAGGGUGGGAGUUAACGUUAUAGGCCGAGUGUUUGUCACCAAAGAAAGGAAGCAUUGAAGACAACAGUUGUAUAUUUAACGUACAGGCCAACAUAUCAUCAUGACAUUGACUUACCUACAGAUAUCACCCAACAAACUGACACAGUUUCAUAGAAACAUUAGUACAAUGACAGGAGUGAGAAAGAGACAAGUUCAUCAACUUUUUAUCUUUGCAAAUCAAUAUUCCUCUUGAUCCAUUAUAAGGUGAUAAUUACGUUAAAACAUCAGUGAUUACGUGAGAGUGCCAGAAUAUCUAUUUCUACAAGUGUAUGUGCACAUGACCCCGGGGGCAUCGGGAGAUGCAUUAAUGGAAUCCCACACAUAACAAAAAGUUCUUAUCGCUACCAGAGUGUGAGGCUGAGACAUCUUUAUUCCUGGAGAUAGUGACAGACACAACGUAAGCCAUUGAACUAACUCUUUUCAUCAGACAGAUGUUUCAUCACGUCCAAUGAAAGUUCAUGAUAGUCUCAUUCUCUUCAUGAUGGAAUCUCAGUACCUUUACUGAUGGAAAAAAACAACAACUUUUAUUUCAGAAUAUUGCCUUCAGCUGCUCCAGCAGGUUAGUAAUAUACUGUAUAAUCAAUGAAAACUGUUCUGUAUUUGUAUUUAUUAUGGAUCACUAUUAGUUGUUGCCAAGGCAGCAGCUAUUCUUCCUGGGGUCCAGCAAAAUUAAGGCAGUUAUACAUUUUUUUUAAUAUUAUAGAACAACAUAUUGUAGUACAACACUCCAAGUGUGUACCCUCAGGCCCCUACUCUACUACCACAUAUGUACUACACAAAAUCCAUGUGAAUGUGUGUGUAUAGUGUGUAUGUUAUCGGGUGGUUGUAUGCAUCUGUGCCUAUGUUUGUGUUGCUUCACAGUCCCC
rnacentral:lncRNA from 1 species